rnacentral:tRNA from 1 species
GGGGUUGUAGCUCAGUGGUAGAGUGCUUACCUAGCAUGUGUGAGGCCCUGAGUUUGAUCCUCAGCACUACA